rnacentral:misc_RNA from 1 species
AACCUUAUGGACCUGCGGGCGUAUACCUGCGGAAGGAUCAUUAAAAAAACUUUGCCCGCGGACCUUGGGUCCAAGGCGCAAAACCCACACUAUGUGCACUGUUAUCGUUCUUUUGGCAGGGGCUUGGGGUAUCUUCCAACUUGGGGAACCUCAACUUCUCGUCUAGCUCUAUCCACCUCGGACAGCUGGACAUGAGAAGUAGUUACUCUGCCAAGUGACCCUUAAAAACACGCUUUUUUG